AGGAUUAACGCUGGCGGCGUGCCUAACACAUGCAAGUCGAACGAGGUAGCAAUACCUAGUGGCAGACGGGUGAGUAACGCGUGGUCAACCUACCGUCGAGCGGGGGAUAACUAGCCGAAAGGCUAGCUAAUACCGCGUAACACUUCAGCCGGCAUCGGCAGAAGUUGAAAGUAGCAAUACACUCGAUGACGGGACCGCGUCCCAUUAGCUAGUUGGUGGGGUAACGGCCUACCAAGGCACCGAUGGGUAGCUGGUUUGAGAGAGCGACCAGCCACACUGGGACUGAGAACGGCCCAGACUCCUACGGGAGGCAGCAGUGAGGAAUUUUCCGCAAUGGGCGAAAGCCUGACGGAGCGACGCCGCGUGUGGGAAGAAGGCCUUCGGGUCGUAAACCACUGUCGAAGGGGACGAUAAUGACGGUACCCUUGGAGGAAGCCCCGGCUAACUACGCGCCAGCAGCCGC
rnacentral:rRNA from 1 species